rnacentral:rRNA from 1 species
AGAGUUUGAUCCUGGCUCAGAUUGAACGCUGGCGGAAUGCUUUACACAUGCAAGUCGAACGGCAGCACGGGUGCUUGCACCUGGUGGCGAGUGGCGAACGGGUGAGUAAUACAUCGGAACGUACCCAGUUGUGGGGGAUAACGAGUCGAAAGAUUCGCUAAUACCGCAUACGACCUGAGGGUGAAAGCGGGGGACCGUAAGGCCUCGCGCAAUUGGAGCGGCCGAUGUCUGAUUAGCUAGUUGGUGAGGUAAAGGCUCACCAAGGCGACGAUCAGUAGCUGGUCUGAGAGGAUGAUCAGCCACACUGGAACUGAGACACGGUCCAGACUCCUACGGGAGGCAGCAGUGGGGAAUUUUGGACAAUGGGCGAAAGCCUGAUCCAGCCAUGCCGCGUGCAGGAUGAAGGCCUUCGGGUUGUAAACUGCUUUUGUACGGAACGAAAAGACUCCUUCUAAUAAAGGGGGUUCAUGACGGUACCGUAAGAAUAAGCACCGGCUAACUACGUGCCAGCAGCCGCGGUAAUACGUAGGGUGCAAGCGUUAAUCGGAAUUACUGGGCGUAAAGCGUGCGCAGGCGGUUAUAUAAGACAGAUGUGAAAUCCCCGGGCUCAACCUGGGAACUGCAUUUGUGACUGUAUAGCUAGAGUACGGCAGAGGGGGAUGGAAUUCCGCGUGUAGCAGUGAAAUGCGUAGAUAUGCGGAGGAACACCGAUGGCGAAGGCAAUCCCCUGGGCCUGUACUGACGCUCAUGCACGAAAGCGUGGGGAGCAAACAGGAUUAGAUAC